AAUCAACGCUGGCGGCGUGCCUCAGACAUGCAAGUCGAACGCGAAAGUCCCCUCCGGGGGACAAGUAGAGUGGCGCACGGGUGAGUAACACGUAGGUAAUCUACCUUCGGAUGGGGAAUAACAACCGGAAACGGUUGCUAAUACCGCAUAAUGCAGCGGCACCUAAUGGUGACAGUUGUUAAAGCGGGGGAUCGAAAGACCUCGCGUCUGAAGAGGAGCCUGCGGCGGAUUAGCUAGNGGUAAGGUAAUGGCUUACCAAGGCGACGAUCCGUAGCCGGCCUGAGAGGGCGGUCGGCCACACUGACACUGACAUACGGGUCAGACUCCUACGGGAGGCAGCAGUCGGGAAUUUUGGGCAAUGGGCGAAAGCCUGACCCAGCAACGCCGCGUGAAGGAUGAAAUCCCUCGGGAUGUAAACUUCGCAAGAGCGGGAAGAAUAAGUA
rnacentral:rRNA from 1 species